GCCAGAAUACUUAACACAACUGUUACACCUUCAACAGCCACUCAAUAUAAGACACAUUGAUACUGUAAAUAACACCAGGCUUUUGAAUGUCCUAUACUAUCUGAACAGAUCAUUUCCUCCAAUAUCUGCUGCAAUCACUGAGUGAUGCUUCAGGAAAUGAACAGGAAGCAUCAUCCUCAAGAGCUCCUCUUCAGGCUUCCUCCAACUGGAGCACAAGAAAUACUCUCUUUUCAGAGAGGUGGAGGGACGAGAGACCCCGGCAUGUGAACACUGCAGCCGCACAAGAACAUUUGGGAAAGCACAUGUGCCAACAGUGUGGGAGCAAUCCAGCGGCUGUCCGUUGUCGUGACUGUCGACCACGGCCCUUCUUCUGUGCUGACUGUGAUGUCAGCGUGCACGUCAGACAUGUCCUCCACAACAGGGAUGCAAUGACUGCUGGAUUCAUCCAGCCAUUACCUCCAACAUCUCUUGUUGUGGAUAAGGCCCUUUCCCAUUGUGCUACGUGCUGUUGUGUUACUGUCAAACACAUUCAAUUCAACAUCUUUCGAGUACCUUUUCAGCAACAUACUUCAUGGCCAUGAAGUCUUUUUUUCAUUUUCUCAUUACGGUUUGUACCUGUGGAGACGCCUGACCAGAAUUAUUAAAGGUCAACCCAGGAAACGAUGUUACUGUGGUCACAAUGAAUGGGCGACAUGAUCUCAGCAUGCCUGAGUUGAAUUGUGAGGCAUGCAAAGCCACUUGGACUGCUGGAGUGGACGACCUCAUUCGCAGUGACUACUGGCCUGCUACACUUCACUCUGCUACAGUUUAUGCAACCCAGAUUUUGUUUUCAUUUGAAGAAAUGAAGAUGGUGGCACCAGGAUUGUCCUGCCAGGCAUUUUUGACAAUGUCCGCUUUGGCCGUGUGAGUAAUAAAGUUAUUGAUCCCAUAGUGUAGUUCAUCUGUUUGUAUUGGGGCUGGAAAAGCUUUGUUUGUUGGUUAUGCAUUUAUUCCACAUUAUUGGCUCUCCAUUUCCUUGUUU